GUUUUUCAUUUUGUGCCCAUUGCCUCUUGUCCUGCCACCAGGCAUUCCCGAAAAGAGCCUGGUUCCAUCUUUGCACCCUCCUUUCAGGAGAAGACCUUGUAUUCUGAUUCCACGAGGCAAAGCACUUUUUCACCACUCUUCUGCAGUACUUCAGAUGUCAAGAAUUGGAAGGAAGAGGUGAAGCUUAGCGAGACAUCUGAAACACUACAUCCAGUUUUGAUAACCCAUUGUGAGGAGGACACCAACAGACUUGGACCAGUUCAGCUUAGGACCUCCAGCUGAACAGGCUGGAGCACUUGACCUUUUGCUCCAAAACCCACUGAAAUCAGGUGGAGAGAAAUAGGGAUCAAACAGUACAAAGAGGAAUCUGACUCAACCUAAAGGACAAUUCUCAGCAUUUCUUGAUGGCAUUUUGUGUUUUUUUAUGGAACUUGAAGAACAAUGGAAAACAGAUAAAUGAACAGGUCAAUCAUAUGCUUAUUCAUACAUGGUGUUCAUUUCUUAAAUGUCUUUCAACUAAAGAGCAGAAAAAGAUCAUAUUUAAUCAGAUAAAAAAUCUCAGUCCUUCUGCCAACUGCAAAAAACAGUCAGCUGCCUCAAAAUGGAAGGAAGAUACUCCUAAUACUUUCAGUGGGAUUUGGUGUCAGGGAGCAGCAAGUAUGAAGGUGUUCCAAGAGGGAAGACAAGCCGAAAGAUGAUGACACCAGCAGAAGAAAAAGCAACGCCUUCACCAGUCAGACACAGAAAAUUCUCUUAAGAGAAUAAUGGGGGUAAGGGAGAAAUUUCCUCUCCAGAUGUCAAUAAAAGAAGUGGUUUACCCUUG